UCCCAGUUAGUACAAUGGUUAGUAUAGGGCACUCUCACUAUGCAAGCUUCGUGCAGGUUUGUGACACUGCUCAGAUCAGGGUUCGAUUCCCUGGCCGGGAA